rnacentral:misc_RNA from 1 species
AAGUCGUAACAAGGUUUCCGUAGGUGAACCUGCGGAAGGAUCAUUAAUGAUUCUCAAAGGAUGUGCUGGCAACUUAUACUUGCAUGUGCACUCUGACUUUCACCCACCUGUGCACAUUCUGUAGACAGUGGUAGUAAUCUAUCCAUUGUCUAUGAUUUUUAUACACCUGUUAAAAUAAAAUUGAAUGUUUUAUAAAUCAAUACAACUUUCAACAACGGAUCUCUUGGUUCUC